rnacentral:rRNA from 1 species
ACACAUGCAAGUCGAGGGGCAGCGGAGAGGUAGCAAUACCUUUGCCGGCGACCGGCGCACGGGUGAGUAACACGUAUGCAAUCCACCUGUAACAGGGGGAUAACCCGGAGAAAUCCGGACUAAUACCCCAUAAUAUGGGUUCUCCGCAUGGAGGGUCCAUUAAAGAGAGCAAUUUUGGUUACAGACGAGCAUGCGCUCCAUUAGCCAGUUGGCGGGGUAACGGCCCACCAAAGCGACGAUGGAUAGGGUUCUGAGAGGAAGGUCCCCCACAUUGGAACUGAGACACGGUCCAAACUCCUACGGGAGGCAGCAGUGAGGAAUAUUGGUCAAUGGUCGGCAGACUGAACCAGCCAAGUCGCGUGAGGGAAGACGGCCCUACGGGUUGUAAACCUCUUUUGUCGGAGAGUAAAGUACGCUACGUGUAGCGUAUUGCAAGUAUCCGAAGAAAAAGCAUCGGCUAACUCCGUGCCAGCAGCCGCGGUAAUACGGAGGAUGCAAGCGUUAUCCGGAUUUAUUGGGUUUAAAGGGUGCGUAGGCGGCACGCCAAGUCAGCGGUGAAAUUUCCGGGCUCAACCCGGACUGUGCCGUUGAAACUGGCGAGCUAGAGUGCACAAGAGGCAGGCGGAAUGCGUGGUGUAGCGGUGAAAUGCAUAGAUAUCACGCAGAACCCCGAUUGCGAAGGCAGCCUGCUAGGGUGCGACAGACGCUGAGGCACGAAAGCGUGGGUAUCGAACAGGAUUAGAUACCCUGGUAGUCCACGCAGUAAACGAUGAAUACUAACUGUUUGCGAUACAAUGUAAGCGGUACAGCGAAAGCGU